AGCAAAGUACGUAUUGUUUUAUUUACAUUUUUUGAAAAAAUACAUGUAAUCUACAGCAUCAUUUUUACUUCUGUGAAAAAAAGAUUCCUAUGGCCAAGAUCAUACCAGAAACUGGGAGAAGGUGAGACACAACCCACUGUCCACAGAGCUCAUCAGAGCAACAAGCCAGCUUGUCACCUCAGCAGUAACCAAGUUUCCAGCUAUGUCUCAUUCUUGCUUCAGCUGACAAAUGCUUUGAAACUGGAGCUGUCACAACAUUGCAAGAUGCUUUCCACGCCUCUGGGCAAGGCAGCCCCUGGGACGUAUCCGCCUGAUCCGCAGCCUCGACAAACCCCGCGAUUCUGGGGCGCUGCGCUCCCUCCCCUCAGCACUGGAUAGGUGUUGUUGCCCUUCGAAGCAGGUGUGCUCAGCAGUCUUGGUCCCUUUGUGAAACCACAGGACACGUUCUUGGUGCAUAUCAGGACCAGAGCUGGGUGAGUGCUGUUCCCUGUCUCCCAGCCACG
rnacentral:lncRNA from 1 species